UACGUAGGGGGCAAGCGUUAUCCGGAUUUACUGGGUGUAAAGGGAGCGUAGGCAGGACUGCAAGUCAGAUGUGAAAACUAUGGGCUUAACCCAUAGCCUGCAUUUGAAACUGUAAUUCUUGAGUGAUGGAGAGGCAAGCGGAAUUCCUAGUGUAGCGGUGAAAUGCGUAGAUAUUAGGAGGAACACCAGUGGCGAAGGCGACUUGCUGGACAUUAACUGACGCUGAAGCGCGAAAGCGUGGGGAGCAAAC
rnacentral:rRNA from 1 species